GAGUUCCGGGGGCCAGGCGGUCACUGCGAGUCUGGUAUCCUGAGCUUCGUGAGUUGAGCGCUGCUGCUCCGCAGUGGAGUCACUGCACCGCUCCUGUGAUCAUGGUGUUCUACUUCACCAGCAGCAGCGUUAUUUCAUCUGCCUACACUAUUUACAUGGGAAAAGAUAAAUAUGAAAAUGAAGAUCUGAUCAAGCAUGGCUGGCCUGAAGAUAUCUGGUUUCAUGAGGACAAACUCUCUUCAGCUCAUGUAUACCUUCGAUUACAUAAGGGAGAGAAUAUAGAAGACAUUCCAAAGGAAGUGCUGAUGGACUGUGCCCACCUUGUGAAGGCCAAUAGCAUUGAAGGCUGCAAGAUGAACAACGUUAAUGUGGUAUAUAUUCUGUGAUCUAACCUGAAGAAAACAGCUGACAUGGAUGUGGGGCAGAUAGGCUUUCACAGGCAGAAGGAUGUAAAAAUUGUGACAGUGGAGAAGAAAGUAAACAAGAUCGUGAGCUGAUUAGAAAAGACCAAAGUGAAGCGGUUCCCAGACCUAGCAGCAGAGAAAGAAUGCGGAGAUCAUGAAGAGAGGAAUGAGAAAAAAACCCAAAUUCAGGAAAUGAAAAGGUGAGAAAAAGAAGAAAUGAAGAAGAAAAGGGAAAUGGAUGAACUUAGGAGCUAUUCAUCACUAAUGAAAGUUGAAAAUAUGUCUUUAAAUCAGGAUGGCAAUGAUUCAGAUGAAUCAUGUAAAAGGAGGAAAGGACCUUUGAAAGAUGUGAAUGUAGAGACAAUUGCAGACCUUUUGGUUUCAUCCGUGUUCUGAAGUAUAAAAUAAAACCAA